GGUGAAAUUAUUCAGUUACGUUGAGUUAAACCUAUUAAGGCAUCUUUUGUAAUUAAGUGGUAUAAUUUU
rnacentral:tRNA from 1 species